UUGUUUAAAAAGUCUCUUGAAAGCAAAAUAAAAGCUGUUGUUUGGAUUCUGAGAGAUGAUUUGAGUUGAUAAAAAAGCUGCAGGUGGGAGAUGAGGGGUUAACGGAAAACCUCUCGAAAAAAAAAGAAGUGUUUUCCAGUAAUCAAGCAGAACAACGUGGAGCCGGUGCUAACGGGUCUGGACGUGGACGGAUGGCGACACGGUCGACCUCCGGCGCUCCGACACUUGUCGAGCAACACGAUGGCCUGCAGGUCCUUUUGUUUGGCAGCCAUCAGCUCCAACAGAGAGGCCAGGCUGUGGAGGUCAAAGGUCAAUGUGACCUUUAAAAACAAAAAAAAGGACCUUGUUUUCUAAAUGACCGCAAUUAAAUACCCCCUGCCUUUAAAUGUCCUGCUCCUGGUGACCUGAUGGAAAUGUGGUCUGGACUGUGAGACCAGGAGAACGUGCCGAACAUCUGUUUGUGCCUGAAGGAAAACCCAGAGAGGCUGAAGCAGCAGGAGCAGAGCCCAGAUGUAUUCAUGGUGGAGCCUAGAAACCAAAAUUCUCCGUGUGAUUGCUCCUGUAGCUGUCUGAGCUCCGGCGUGCAUUUCUGAUCACUUGUUGCAUCAGAACGAGACUUCCUGCCGAAGAGAGUGACGGGCAGGUUUCGCCCAAAGGAUUCCCAUGAAUUAGGACAAUAAACCAGAAGAGCAUUCUCCGUCA